UGUUGUUGGAAGAAUUUUGUUAAAUACAGAAUGACUGGAGAAUUUCAGCAAAAGUAUCAUAAGUCAUAGGUUAUUGGGGACAGGAAAAUGUUUUUUUUACCCUCCACCUUUAUUUCCAAAGUUCCCAAUUUUGGUUUUCUAUCAAUUUCAAUAUGAACAUACAUUUAGUAUGUUAUGAACAUUUAUUUAAGUAAGGAGCCUGUAAUUCAGUGGUUGUCGUUUGUUUAUGUGUUACAUAUUUGUUUUUCGUUCGAUUUUUUGUACAUAAAUAAGGCCGCUAGUUUUCUCGUUUGCAUUGUUUUACAUUGUCAUUUCGGGGCCUUUUGAAGCUGAGUAUGCGGUAUGGGCUUUGCUCUUUGUUGAAGGCCGUACGGUAACCUAUAAUUGUUAAUUUCUGUGUCAUUUUGGUCUCUUGUGGAGAGUUGUCUCAACAUGGCAAUCAUACCACAUCUUCUUUUUUUUUGUAUCAAAAGUUCACAUGAAAAAUUUUAGCGCUUAUCUGUAUAUUAUGAACAUUCAUUACUAUAUAAAUAACGCGUAUUUACUUUCAAUUCUAAGUUUACUAAUCAAUCCAUGGUGAUCA
rnacentral:lncRNA from 1 species